AAAGGAAUAGAUACUCCACUAACAAAGAAAAAUAUGAACUCAAGUGUAAACUAUUUCGAUCAAAUUGACGACCUCAUCAUACUUUUAUUCUCAAAGCCAAGUGUCUUUUUAGUUAGGUUAUUGCACCUUUCGUUCUACUGCUUGGAAUAUUUUGCACAACCCCGUGAAAUGGACUUGUGUCAUGUUAAAAAUUGAAGGGCUCAAGUUCGUCUCCUUUGCGUUUGCCUUUGUUUAAACUUUGAAACACUAUUCUUGAUUCCCAUUUGUGUUUGCCACUAAACUUGUGUGCGGUUCAUGUGGGUGCUGCUUAAACGCUGACUUAAACAGUUCCAAAUAAUUUAUGGCCGUCUCUUCAAACAGCUAAAAAGAAAAAAAGAUAGACGAAAAGAAUAAAAAGGAGAGGUAAUAUGCAAUUCCACUUGUCAAAUCCUUUGUACAGGUUUUGAAAGCUUUCUUCACAUCCUACGUUGAAAAGCAUUAUGCAAUAUCAUGCACAAUAGCCCUGUUUUUUGCCACAAGAAAAUAAGUACACCAUUACAACAACAAGAAGACAAAAAACCAGUAUCCAUUGCCAAAGUUCUUGAAAUUUCAAUGAUCAAUCCAUGAAUAUUUUGGGGAGGCAAAGAUUCGGAAUUACAGCUGAAGAUGAUGAUGAACUUGGGCAAUAGAGAAAGAACUUACAAUUGUCUGCUUUGUAAUCAUCUUCAGAAAUUGGAGGUUGCAGUGAACAUAGAUCAUAUUGUAGCUUUAACAGCAAAUGGCCAUGGAUGAUGAAGUACCAGGAGCUGUGGGGACAAGCGCGAGCUUUGCUUUGAGAUUAGGGCAGACCAUCUUCUCCUCUGCUUCUCUUUUGUUCAUGUCUUUAGGAGUUGAGUUCCACAAUUAUACUGCCUUUUGCUUCUUAGUAACAAUCAUGGGUUUGGUCAUCCCCUGGAGCAUUACUUUGGCAUUGAUUGACAUAUACUCUGUCUUGAUCCAUUGCCCCAUCCGUCAGCCAGGGAUCCUACUCUUCAUUGUUUUAGGAGAUUGGGCAUUAUCAUUCCUCACCCUAGCAGCAGCUAGCUCAAUUGCUGGAAUAGUCGAUCUUUUGCACAGGGCAGAUGUAACAUUCUGUCCAGCCGGAUUAUGCAGUAGAUAUCAGAUAUCUGCUUCAUUGGCCUUCUUGUCAUGGUUUCUCUCCACGGCCUCAUCUCUUUCCAAUCUUUGGUUGCUUCCUUCUCUGUCAAGAUGAUCAGUUUUCCGCUAUUUCCACACCGUAGCUUCAGGAAACCUAUGUACGGUUGGACGGAGGUAUCUGAUACAGGUAGACAUGCUGCAAUGAAUUCAAUAUUUAGAAGAUUUAUUAUAAUUAGACGGUCUUUACGCGAGCCAUCAGCUUACCGCUAGCUACUCUCUUCAUUUAUCCGGCUUCAGAAAGGUCAAGUUUCCAAAAACAUGCAUUGGUACGAAGCGCCUACCUUCUCUCAGUCAUUUCGUCGAACAAUUUUGGCUCAAACUUCCGAAGCGUAUUCUAUAAAAUAUUUCGUGGAAAUAAAAUCACGUCAUGAUUCAUGCCAUUUGGAAAAAGAGAAGACCAGAGAGUGAAACAACGAAUUGUUGAUAAAUUUGGGCUGCUUCAAUGAGUUAGAUAAUUGGGCUCACUCUUUUAAAUCUGCUUCAUCAAUAUUUGGGCUAAUAGUAAGGCUUCCUAGAAGGAAAGGCAGGCCCAAUAUAGGGAUUGUCACACAAAUAGCCGGUCAAAUUUAAUGUUUACUUUU